GGUCAAUAUGUGUUUUGUUUUGAAAGCAAAGAAGAAGUAGUUAUAUCUACUUGUUGGUCU
rnacentral:tRNA from 1 species